UGCCCCAACCGCCCCCGUGCAUGGGGGGGUCCAAGCGGGAGAAGCGAGAGGCCGAGGGGGACGCAGCAGCGUCGCGAUAGGUGCUGCAGUGUCAUCGCGAUAGGUGCCGCAGUGCCACGAUAGAUGCAGUGUCAUUGUGAUAGGUGCUGCAGUGUCAUGAUAGAUGCAGUGUCAUCGUGAUAGGUGCUGCAGUGUCACAAUAGAUGCAGUGUCAUCGCAAUAGGUGCCACAGUGUCAUGAUAGAUGCAGUGACAUUGCGAUAGGUGCCGCAGUGUCACGAUAGAUGCAGUGUCAUUGUGAUAGGUGCCGCAGUGUCACGAUAGAUGCAGUGUCAUCGCAGUAGGUGCUGCAGUGUCACAGUAGAUGCAGUGUCAUCGCAGUAGGUGCUGCAGUAUCAUGAUAGAUGCAGUGUCAUUGUGAUAUCUGCGGUGUGAUGGCGACAGCUGCUGCAAUGUCACGAUAGCUGCUCUGUCGAGGCAGAUGCUGCGUCAUUGUGAUUAAUGCUGUAUCAUUACGAUUAAUGAGGUGCCAUUAUGAUAAGUGCUGAGUCAUCGUGAUAAAUGCGGUGUCAUCACAACAGAUGCUGCAUCAUCACGACAGAUACCGUGACAUUGCGAUAAAUGCUGUUACUGCGAUAAAUGCAGUGUCAUUGUGGCAGACACUGCUUCAUUGCAAUAAAUGCUGUAUCGUCAUGACAGACACUGUGUCAUGAUAAAUGCUGUCAUCGCGACAGAUGCUGAAUCGUGAUAAAUGCUGUGUCAGUGUGAUAAGUGCUGCGUCAUCGUGACAAAUGCGGUGUCAUCAUGACAGAUGCUGCGUCAUGUGAAUAAAUGCUGUGUCAUCGUGAUGGACUCCG